UUAGGAUCAACGAUGCCUGUUGUCUGCUUUAUCUUUCUGUAACUUCAUUGACGGAAUUGAAGAUGCCACUGAUCUACUGAGAUCUGGU